UUUUCCCCGGGUUUGGGAUCCUGCCGAAGGCUACUGCUAGAGGAGAUCGAUUAGCCAUGCGAGUCAGGGGACUUCGGUCACCGGCGGAUGCUCAGUAACACGUGGACAAUCUGCCCUCGGGUGGGGAAUAAACUCGCGAAAGUGAGGCUAAUACCCCAUAGGCACAGGAGGCUGGAAUGCAUCUGUGCCCAAAGCUCCGGCGCCCGAGGAUGAGUCUGCGGCCUAUCAGGUAGUAGUCAGGGUCAAGACCUGACUAGCCAGCGACGGGUACGGGCCUUGAGAGAGGUCGCCCGGAGAUGGACUCUGAGACACGAGUCCAGGCCCUACGGGGCGCAGCAGGCGCGAAAACUUCGCAAUGCAGGAAACUGUGACGAGGGAACUCCAAGUGUCCAUGCAUUGCAUGGACUGUUUGCCAGCCUAAAAAGCUGGUAGAGUAAGGGGUGGGAAAGACCGGUGCCAGCCGCCGCAGUAACACCGGCACCUCAAGUGGUAGCCACUAUUAUUGGGCCUAAAGCGUUCGUAGCCGGCUUGGUUAAUUCCUGGGUAAAUCGUACCGCUCAACGGUGCGGAUUCCGGGGACACUGCCAGGCUUGAGACCGGGGGAGAUCAGAGGUACUUGCGGGGGAGCGGUGAAAUGUUGUAAUCCCGCAGGGACCACCAAUGGCGAAGGCAUCUGAUCAAAACGGCUCUGACGGUGAGGGACGAAACCCUGGGGCGCAAACGGGAUUAGAUACCCCGGUAGUCCAGGGCGUAAACGCUGCUGACUUGGUGUUGGGGGCCCUGCGAGGGCGUCCAGUGCCGGCACGAAAGUAUUGGGUCAGCCGCCUGGGGAGUACGGUCGCAAGACUGAAACUAAAGGAAUGGCGAGAGCACUGCAACCGGAACAGCGUUGCGGUUUUAAUUGGAUCACACCCGCCCGGGAAA
rnacentral:rRNA from 1 species